rnacentral:rRNA from 1 species
CAUCGAUGAAGAACGCAGCGAAAUGCGAUAAGUAAUGUGAAUUGCAGAAUUCAGUGAAUCAUCUAAUCUUUGAACGCAUCUUGCGCUCCUUGGUAUUCCGAGGAGCAUGCCUGUUUGAGUGUCAU